UACGUAGGGGGCAAGCGUUGUCCGGAAUUAUUGGGCGUAAAGCGCAUGUAGGCGGCCGAAUAAGUCGGGUGUGAAAGCCCAGGGCUUAACCCUGGAAGUGCACUCGAAACUGCUCGGCUUGAAUAUGGAAGAGGGUCGCGGAAUUCCCGGUGUAGAGGUGAAAUUCGUAGAUAUCGGGAGGAACACCAGUGGCGAAGGCGGCGACCUGGGCCAAUAUUGACGCUGAGAUGCGAAAGCGUGGGGAGCAAACAGG
rnacentral:rRNA from 1 species